UACGAAGGGGGCGAGCGUUGUUCGGAUUUACUGGGCGUAAAGGGCGCGCAGGCGGCGGAUCAAGUCAGAUGUGAAAGCCCCGGGCUUAACCUGGGAACUGCAUUUGGGACUGGUUUGCUAGAGAUCGGGAGAGGAGAGUGGAAUUCCCAGUGUAGAGGUGAAAUUCGUAGAUAUUGGGAAGAACACCGGUGGCGAAGGCGGCUCUCUGGACCGAUACUGACGCUGAGGCGCGAAAACGUGGGGAGCAAACAGG
rnacentral:rRNA from 1 species